rnacentral:ribozyme from 1 species
GAACGGAGGGCAAGAAAUAAGAAAAAUAAAUACAAAAACGAGGCGCGCCCAUCAUCGCCGAUUUUUUAUUUUUAUCUUUUUCCCUUUUCCCGUUUUGUUU